UCCGGUUCAUCACCAGCAGUCUCUUUAGAGUCCCCAACAUAACUUGAUGGUAACUAAAGAUAAGGGUUGCGCUCGUUACGGGACUUAACCCAACAUCUCACAACACGAGCUGACGACAGCCAUGCAGCACCUGUCUCAAAGUUCCUUUCGGCACUUUCACAUCUCUGCAAAAUUCUUUGGAUGUCAAGGGUAGGUAAGGUUCUUCGCGUUGCAUCGAAUUAAACCACAUGCUCCACCGCUUGUGCGGGCCCCCGUCAAUUCCUUUGAGUUUUAACCUUGCGGCCGUACUCCCCAGGCGGAGAACUUAUCGCGUUAGCUUCGAUACUAAUAGGUCAUGCCUACCAACAUCUAGUUCUCAUCGUUUACAGCGUGGACUAC
rnacentral:misc_RNA from 1 species